rnacentral:piRNA from 1 species
UUGAAUGCUAUUGAUAAGCACAGGGCUCA